rnacentral:lncRNA from 1 species
GCUUGAGACAAUUUUCUUCCUAGUAGCUAGUGUACUAUUGUGUUUAGGGUUUAGAAUGUGAACAAUGCUGAUAACACACUAAUGUAUUAGUUUCAAAAGGGCUUUUUGGUUUCUCAUAUUGCCCUGUCCAUGAGGCAGCUGGGGGUGCACCAGAAGCUGGAAGGGGACACAACUGGGACAGCUGUCCCAAAGCGACCAAAAGGACAUCCCAUCCCAUGUGAUGCCAAGUCAAAAAGAAAAAGUUAGUAGCAAGUUUUCAGUUACCCUAUUGCUCAGGGGCAGUUUGGACAUUGGUUGACUGGUGGUGAGCAAUUUUAUUGUGCAUAACUUGUUUUGCUACUUUUUUUUUCCCUUUUUUUUUUUUUUUUCCCCUCAUGGGUUGAAAUAAAGAUAGUUAUCUCAGGUACUUCUAAUUUUUUAAUUUCUCUCUCCCAUCCCACUGCAGGGAAACCACUGUGUGGUUCUUAGCUGCCUGAUGGGUUAAACCAUAACACAUGAAUAAAGAAAUGGUUAAAAGGGCAAAGACAAUGGAAACAGGCUAUUGGAAGAAGCUGUGUGGGGACCCUGCUGUUCAAAGCAUUAGUGACUGACUUGGAAAACAGUGAAGGGUCAGCAAAGGGAGGCAAGACCAACUGACUCACAUCUGGAUGCCUGCACUGCAUGAAUCUUCAUGUUUAGGUGAUAUGGACACCAAUGGGAGUGAUAUGGCUAAUAUCCCAUCCGGCUGCAUUUGCUCUCAUCCCCAGUGCUGUGGUACUCAUUUAUAGCCAAGUUGACUGGAAGUGAUGCUUGGAAUGAGUCCAGGAAAAGGCAUGAACUCACACCUCUGGAUCCAUACCAAGACACCUUCACUGCUCUAUCAUCAUUCUCCUCAGAGGGAUGUAAUGAGGAUACAUUAAUUAAUGUUUAUGAACUGCUUCAGUGCUGCCAUAUUUAGACUGUUAAAGUUGCAUCUGUAGGAAUAAAACCACAGUCAGUAAUUCUACCUGCA